UCGAACUAAACAGGCUGUUGCUGGCCGAGUGUGGCAUGUGCACGCUUGCGUCUUUUUAUUUCUCCAACUGUGCACAAAUUUUCUUCACAACCUCUGAAUGUAUUGGAAUGAUUUGAAUCUGGGGAAUAUAUAUAUA
rnacentral:misc_RNA from 1 species